GAAACUGCUUAAGCGAGCAGUUCUAGGAAGGCUGAGAACGGGGUGACUGAAAACGAGAGUUUGGUGUAUUUAAAAGAAAUUUAACAUCAGAACACCUUCUUUUGGUCAAGAGCUCCUGAAAAGCCACCGUAAGCGAAUCUUGAAUACGGACGAAUUCAGGUUCAUGCUCGUGAAUUUUCGGCUUUACACGAGGUUGGCCUACUCGAGAUGUCACAGAGCUGACUCACUGACACGAUACUGCGCAUAGAUUUCUCCCAGCCGGGAGAGUGGUGGGGGCCCAAGAAUCCCACAUUCUGAAGACACUGGACUAUAUAAAUUCAUCCGAAAGACAUCCCAACAUCAGUCAACGUUCAACAUGUCAUCCCUAGAAACUGUUAUUGUCUUCCUUCUUAUGUGCAUUUUUGCACUUUCUCAGAUGGUUGGUUCUGGCGCCGCUGUAUCAAUACAUGUGGAUACAAUAGUGAAAAAAGGAAGCGAUCCACUUCACAAUCGUAAAUAGAAUGAAGAACACCUUCUGCGUGAAACCUUGGACAAUUUGAGUCAAUUUAAAAUGUUGAACUGCAAUGGGACAACCAAAAAAAAUUUACAACUCUAAUUUUACAUUAUACUUUUCAAAAUCAUGAUUUUGUAUUAUUUAAUUGUUAAUCCCUAGUACUAUUCUAAUUUAAAAUAGGAUUAGGAAUGCUUAUUAAACAUGUAUUUUGCAUAUGUUAAUAGUAAAAAAUGUUGUUCAUAUGAUUAAUAAACCUCAAGAAAGUA